rnacentral:lncRNA from 1 species
AAUGCCUAUAAAAGCUAAGCUUGCAAAAGCAUAUGUAUAUCAGUGUAAACAAUCUCUUCUACCAAAAAAUAUCGGAGGAGAGCUAGGCAGCCAGGUUAGGUCUUUGUGUGACACAGCAGAGCUUUGAAAGUGUUGAUGAUGCUUAGUUUGAGGCUACAUGGGUGUCAUUGUGUGUUUGUGCUUCUCUAUGCUUAUAUCUGUGGGAAGAAUAUGAAUGGGCUGGCUUAGAGUCUGCUGGAAGUCUUAAAUGGGAAUACACACUGAAGGGCUUGGGUAGUGAGGUUGAUGCCAGCAAACAAUACCUUUGGAAUUCUGAGCUUCUUUCUUAAGCAACCCAAUACCAGAGAUCUCAGGAUUCAUAUACUGAAAUGAUCUUAUUCCAUAUCUAGUGUUCUUUGUACUAGUGUCAAGAAAAGGAGAGGAGAAUUUCAGUACAUAGUGAUGAGUCAACAGCAUUCAAUCUUGAACAAUGCCUACAUUGACCAACAACUCCCCCCAAGGACUCUAGAUUUGUCAAAAAAAAGUUGUCUUCGAUCUCUUAAGAGAUUUAUUUUGUAGUGGUUUUUAUUACUGCUCACUUUAAAGAAACAGAAUCUCUGAAUGGAUAUUAGACUUCUUCCAAGAAGACUGUAGACUGCUUUUGGCUCUCUGAUAUUUGCGAUCUCUUCUUGAUGACAGUCUUUUCCAGCACUGGUUUUCUACCACCCAGGGCAAAAUAGAGGCAAUGAGGUGGCACUGAGGAUAGAGAUCUGGACCGGAAGCCAGCAAGACUUGCAUUCAAAUGACGCUUUCUAGCUAUGUCACUCUGGAGCCAUCCAAGUCCAGUGGCAGAACCAGUGGUGAUGGCCCGGGAUGCAGUGGGUGACCAUGGCACCCUCAGCUUCUGACCAAGCUCUGAGCGCUUUACUGUGCCUGCUGCCGCUACCUCCAGGAAUGGUGAAACAAAUUGUCCUUCUCCCUCUAAUCCUCUGGGGCACGUCUCUAGUGACUUGGGGAGAUUGGAAUGGUAGAUAGCAUGGAAGAGAGAAGUUGGGAAAGUGUGCAAAAGACAGAAGCAGUGGAGGCUGAUGACCUGUCAGUCAAACGAAUGUUCUAUUUGGAAUGAUACUGAGAGAAAACAGUUGGAAGGAAAGAAACAGACCAACUGAGCGGUUAUGUCUUUUAACCUUGGAGACAGAAAGGAGUGGUGGUCUCUAGUGACUUUGAAGGCAGAAGAAGAAGGACAAUUGUCCAGAUAUCUCUCUGACUUGCUCUGUUGUGAUAGGGACUGAACUUCCAGACAUAUCAGCCAUUUCUCUCAAUUUGAACUAUAUUCCAACAUCCUCCAAUCUAGGACUCACUGUAGUAUUAGGGAAAUCCUCAACCCUCUUACCUACACCCCUUCCUGUCUUCCCCAAAUAAAUCCCUUACUUAAGAUAAAGAAGAGAAAGAG